CAUAGUGGGCCAUGGUAAGAUUUCAAAGGUAAAUGGUCCCAUCAUCACUAAUCCAUGUAUUAUGGCCCAUUAGAGUGUUGAAUCAGCUUACUAUUUUGGGUCCCAUUCUAAAAUAAUCUGUCAUAAGAGAUGGAUGGAGCGGAUGCCAUGUCAUGGUGGGCCCUACAGAGCUCUUUGCUUCAUGGGCCGGCCAAGCCUUUUUGCCUCGGUUAUUGAAAACUGAGGCCAAUAUCGCAAAGUAGCAAGGGUAAUUUUGACUUUCUAAAGUUAUAGUGGCAUUUUCAUUAUUUCCGGUAAAGUCCAGCUACAAAAGCAAGCCGCCAUUCCUCUCACUGGCUUUUCGGCCAAAAGGUCUCUCAGCGAGUCUAAGAAAGUCUCCCAAAACCCUCAUUUCUCUCGAUUUCUGCUCGGAAAUCGCCAUUUCUUUCUUCAGUUCCAACCAUUUCGUCGAUUGAUGGCAAAAGGAGCUUCGGAAUUCUCGUUUAUCAGAUGUGCAGAUUUUGAUUCUUUUCGCAUGUUUUCGAGCCGCUAGAAGACCUUAUCAUUCAGAUCUAGAUCCAAAUCCAUUCUCUCUCUCUCUCUCUCUCUCUCUCUCUCUGUCUCUCGAUUGGAAGAAGGAGAGCUGCUAGAAGACCUCCUUAUCAUUCAGAUCCAGAUCCAAAUCAGUUUAAGGUCAAGUCGUAUUUAUGUGUAUUUAUGUGUUUGACAUGUGAAAGAAUCCAAGAGCUAUCUUGAAAUGAGGGUUGCAGAUUGGAAAAAGGUGGGCCAUGCUUUUUUGCUUCAUGCUUUGUUUGCUAAUGAACUUGGAGAUCUAGGAAUGUCUGAUGGUUUGAACUAUGAGAACCAAAUUGCUGUUGGAUUCUUGCGAUGCCAAGAACAACCACCUAGUGACUUCUCUAUUGCUCAGUUCUGGUUUCUGGAGUGACUACUUGUCGUCCAUGGGCACUGGUGCUAUAAGAGGAUUACCAAAUGGUAAGAACUAAAAAAUCCCUUCUUUCUCUACU